GUUCCAGGAGCAGAGACACACAGUGUGGAGCAGGAGGAUUAUCAGAGCUGAUCUGGAGAGUCGUCUACAAACACAGAGUGACGUCCAGGUUCUGCUGGAGCUGUGGGGAAGUUCAUGAAUGUUACAGCUGAUGUUUCAGAAAAAAGGAAGAUGUUUGAGAACCAACAAACCACAGAGCACAGAUGAACAAAGGUGAUGUGGCACUAGGAGACUUUAUACCAGAUGCCCUCCCUGUUACUGCGUUUAGAGGAAGAAAAGCAGCAC